rnacentral:rRNA from 1 species
AGCUUAUCUUGCGCAGCUUAGGUGGGAGGCUAUGAACCUUUUCUUCUGGGAAGAGGGGAGCCAUCAGUGAGAUACCACUCUUGGUAAGCUAGAGCGCUCAGUCUUCACCGUCAUCCGGUAAAACGACAGUUUCAGGCGGGCAGUUUGACUGGGGCAGUCACCUCCCAAAAGGUAAUGGAGGUGCGCAAAGGUUCCCUCAGGCUGGACGGAAAUCAGCCAUAGAGUGUAAAAGCAUAAGGGAGCUUGACUGCGAGACUGACAUGUCAAGCAGAGACGAAAGUCGGCUUUAGUGAUCCGACGGUGCUGUGUGGAAAGGCCGUCGCUCAACGGAUAAAAAUUACUCUAGGGAUAACA